rnacentral:lncRNA from 1 species
CAAUAUUUUCCUUUUCCUUUUUGGAAUAAAUAAAGUUUGGUGGCGAAUCUAUUAUCUUGAGUGUGCGAGCACUCGUGAUCAUUUUUCACGUUGCGACACAUGGUUUGUAUAGAGAUGAAGUAAGAAGGUGUCAAAUGGGCUUCCUGGAUAACUCUCUAAAGGGCCAUUGACAACGGGUUUCUCUUGAGCUUCAGGGCUUUAGGUGUUAUUGCCUAAUCUAUUAACUUUUGUCCCUGUGAAGUAGAGGCCAAUGACAGGUGACUAUGUGAACUAGAUGGUUGGGAACCUUGGUGUUGCGAACCGUCAAACGAGUUAUCCUCGACUCGUGGCGCCGCGGUCCUUGCUAUGGCCAUGUCGCAUCGUACCGAUGCGAUUUGGGAUACAUAAUCGAGCCUAAUCUAGACAAGGUUAUUUUCACCCAUUGCAUCUACGAUAAAACCAGACAACCACAUCAAAAAUUCAAAAAAAAAAUCAACUACGCACAAAUCUAGAGAUACAUCUUCGAAAAUAGCAUAGAGAAAAUCUGGAGAUGCAUCUCUAGAUAAAGCUGCAAUUUUGCAGAUAUGGCAGAAACACCAUUACAACCUUAAAAUCCAAAAAGCUUACAAUGCAUGUCCAUUUAGACUACCUAUUUCGACUGCACACUACCUAAUGUAACUUAACAACUUAUUUUUUCCUAAAAAUUCAUUCAAAACACAAAAAUGAAUGAUUUUUGAAAAACUUACCAAAUAUAAGUUGUGGAAGAAAAAGUUGAAUGUUAUGAGAAGCUUUGGCGUAAAUAAAGUACAACGCAGUGAGAAGAUUGAUUGGUUGAAAAGAUUUGAUUUUUGAGGAAGAGCACCAGUUGGAUUUUUUUUUUUUGAGUUUUAGUGAAUUUUGAGGCAAAUGAACGAGGAAGAGUGAAGGUAUUGGCGCGAGCUAAUGUAUUAAAUUUGUUCGGAGAUGCAUCUCUGUACCACCCACUAAAAUUUUGAAUUAAUGAUGUUUACGGUUAUGCAUCUUUGAAAUUACCUCAUACAUAUACAAAGAUGCAUUUUGUAUUUUUUUUCAAACCAAGGGAUUCUCAUCAAUUUAUGAUGACGAAGGUGGAAAAAGUGCAUCCGGAGAUGCAUCUCUGGAUGUUGGGGACAAUUGUAACUUUUCAUGAACCUAAGAUAUUCAAUGAUGAUAGUGAGAAGUUGCUCGCGCCUAUAACCAAACAGGAGUUGCAUGAGGUGUUGUUCCACAUGCACCCGAAUAAAUCGCCAGGUCCAGAUGGCUUUAAUCUAGCAGUUUAUCAACACUUUUGUGACAUGCGUGGUGAUGAUAUUUACAGUACGGUCAACAACUAGUUGGAGAGAGGCUUUUUUCCUUCCACUCUCAAUGAAACUAAUAUAUGUCUCAUUCCUAAGUGUGAGAUUCCUAAUAAUAUUAAAGAUUUGAGACUUAUCUCUUUGUCUAACAUGUUGUACAAUAUGGAAUCAAAGCUUCUUACUAACAGUGUGAAUGGUUAUUUGUUUAAAUGUAUAUCCUAAGAGAAGCCAACAUUUGUGGAAGGUAGAUCUAUUCUGGACAACACUUUGAUAGCCUUUGAGGUAAUACAUGCGCUAAAAUGCAAGACUAGAGGAUAUAUAGGGGAGAUAGCUCUCAAGAUUAAUAUAAGUAAAGAAUAUGAUCGAGCUAACUGGAGAUUUUUGAGAGGGGUUUUAAGUCGGAUGUGAUUCAUAUAUAGGUGGGUACAAUGGAUGAUGAUAUGUGUAACUUAUGUGCAUUACUAUGUGUUGGUUAAUUCAGAUAGAGUCUGACCAGUUCAUCCAGGAAGGGGAUUGGGGAAAGGAGAUCCUCUGUCUCCAUAUCUCUUUAUCCUAAUAGAAUAAGGGAUUUCAUCUCUCAUCAUAAAAAUAGUAAACAAAGGAGACAUGCAUGAAGUUAAGUUAUGUAGAGGGGCACCUAAGGUGUCCCAUCUAUUUUUUGCUAACAAUUCUUUUAUGUUUUGCAGGGCUAAUAUAUCUGAAGUGAGGCAUCUUAUGGAGAUUCUUAGUGUGUACACAAAAGUGUUGGGUCGAGAAAUUAACAUGACCACGUCAGAGGUAUUUUUUAGUCACAAUAUUAGUAGACUCACUCAAGAUGAUCUCUCUCGCCUAAUGGGAGUUCGCCAUGUGUUAGGCACGCGAACAUAUUUGGGUUCACCUUCAAUGAUUGGAAUAAGUAAAAAGGCAACUUUUACAUUUAUCAAGGAUCAUAUUUGGAAGAGAAUUAAUUCGUGGUGAGGUCUCCCAUUGUCCAAGGCAGGAAAAGAGGUAAUGAUCAAAUCAACCAACAGAGUGUGUCACUUCCCAAAACUGAAAUUUUCUCACCACAAUAUUGCUGAGAUCUUUCACCAACACCUUCAUUCUCCCUUUGAUAGUCCCUACUUUUCCUAAUUAGUUUUCCGCCGUACUUUCACAUUUACAUAAUGCUUCAUCUGUCAGCUUAUAUCACACUCUCACCAAGUCUCUCCGGGUUAAAAUGUUCACACUCACAUUUCAGAAUAUACAAUAUCGACUCAUAAAUUUGAAUAGUUUCUCCUUUCGUUUCAACUACACACAACACACACUUUUUGAGGUCUUUUGGGUUGUAACGGGGCUUGGGUUACGGUGGGGUAAAUACAAACAAAAGGAAAAACAAGUGGUUUGGGUUCAGAGCAAAUGUCAUUAUUCCUUUCACUGUGUUUGUUCUACGUCUCAUUUCUAAUUCUUUUUCAGUUUUUUAUAGCUCAGUUCUCUUUUUUCUUUGAUUUUCUCUCUUUUUAUUUUUAACUGAGUGUUUCUCAUCCGGUGAGUUCUUUCUUUUGUUUUCUUUUUUGUUUCGAUGGUCGUUUUUCUUAAUUUUUUUCCGCACUCACCUUACUUUCAAAUACUUACGGGGUUACCCUAAACUUAGAAUUUGACAUAACUUAAAGACAUAACAUUGACUCUGAAUAGGGUAAGGAAGUGUUUGGGUCGCGGGUUACAUUCAUGUGCUUAUAUAAACAAACAAAGGGUACAGGCUUAAACGGUGUUAACAAGGGAUAAUAUUAAAUGGAUUUCAAGAAAGGCUUAAGGCUAUUAUUCAAACAACGUGCCUCAAUGUGUGUAUAUAUGCAGUGAUAUUCCAAGAGAACUUACCCAAACUCAUAAUGAUAAAUACAUACCUGAAUAUCGCUCAUGAUGAAAAAUGUAUUUGGAUUUUUAUGCACUCUCCAUGUUAGGUAAAGCUUGAUAGAAUCCACAAUACUUCUAGUAUGGUGCGGCUUCUUACUCAGCUCGGAAUGCACAAGGAACCUACGUUAUUGAGCUUGAGACAGUUGCGUCCAAUCUUUUUCUUCGGCAGUAUCAAAUUUUUGGGAAGAUCAUUCACAACAAGUAAUAGUAAGUGGAAUGAUCAUUUCCUCCACUACCACUAAUGGUCAUACCUAAUCCAACAAUAACACCAAGAACCUGAAAUACAUGCAACAAAUGAUACCCAAUAGUAAAAACAAACCAAAUGUAAAACAGUAAACAGAAUGGGAAAUAAUAAAGUAAAAAACAAAAAGCAUAAUUAAACCUCCCCCACACUUGAACUAAACAUUGGCCUCAAUGUUUUAGAACAAGAUAGAAGGAUGGUGACUUAUAGUUCCCUACUGAGGAGGCUGGGGCGGAAAGUGCCAUAUCAUAAUAAAGCUACAAUUAUCCUUGGGUUGCCUCCCAAGCAGUGCUCCUUUAUUGUUAUUAGCUUGACGCUUCAUUCCCCUUGUUAUGGGGGGUACUUCAGCUUCCACACCAUGUUGCACUUCUUUUUCAAAACUAAGAAGCCAUAUUUUUCAGAGGUAUGGAUUCAUUUGUGCCACAUGUCUUUUCAAACCUCCAUAUCCUUACAUUGUUUUCACUUUCUUUUCUUUCUUAUGGCUUUUGGAAUGGAAAUAGGAAUUGGAGUUGCUAAUAGAGGUGGUGACUCUUGAGAAGGCCUUCUUGUAUCUUUCUCUGAUGUUGGUACGUUACUUUGCCUUCUCACCUCUAUCAUGAUCAAGCCUACUUGAUAGUGAUGUUCUUUUUCUACCUCUAGCUCCCCGUUUCUAACAGUAUUCAAUGUUAUUUCCUCAUCAUAAACUUUUAAAGUUAACGUUCCUUGGUCCAUGUCGAGAUUACAUCGCCUUGUCUACAUGAAAGGUCGACCAAGAAUGAUCGGUGUCUCUUCAUCUUCAGGUAUGUCUAGGAUCACAAAAUCAACAGGAAAACUCAAGUUCUCUAUUGUCACCGGUACGUCUUCUGCUAUACCAUAUGCAUCCUCUCUCGAGUGAUCCAUAAACUUCAGAUUUGUCUUUGUAUCACUGACAUUUUUAAUACCCAACUUGUGAUAGAUUGAUAAUGGCAUCAAACUCACACUAGCUCUAGAAUCAGUUAGUACCUUUUUGAAAGUUCUCUCUUUUAUUGUGCAUGAUAGUAUUACCGUUCCAGGAUCCUUCUGUUUGUUUGGAAUUUUCUAACCCAGUGAAUUUGCACUACACUUUUCCUUCAAGGCUACCGGUUCUUCUGCUGUUGGUUUCUUUUCGGCCUUACCUCUUCCAUGAAUUUUUUGUACAUGGGCAUUCGCUCGAGUGCUUCAAACAAAGACAUGUGACUCUCUAUCUUUUUGAACAUUGUCAUGAAUUUCUCAAAGUAUAUCUCUCUUGGAUCCUUCUUUGUCACUCUCUGAGGGUAGGGUAACUUAAUCACCGAUUUAGUAUCCUUUUUAUUUUUCUCUUCAGUUGGCUUUCCAGGUGGUAUAACUUUUUCAUCUUUAGAGGCCCUCUCCCUUUUCGUCGUGACAAUAUUAACAUUCUCAUCAUUUCUUGGAUUUUGAACUGUUCAACUUGGUAAGGAACCUGGUGUUCGAGAACUUGCUAUUUAUUGUGCCAUCUGACCCCGUUGAACUUCAAGAUUUAUUAUAGAGGCGAUGGUGUUUUUAUGAUUGUUUCUAGUCUCUUAUUGGAAUUGCAUAUUUUGAGCGGCCAUGUUUUCAAUGGCAAUAUCCCAGUUUGUUUUCUUUGGAGCUUGUUGUUGCUGUUGUUAUUGAUAUUGAGUCUGAUAUUGACCUUGACCCUAUUGUAGAAAAUUCCCUCUCUGAUCUUUCCAAGAGAAGUUUGAAUGAUUCUUCCAACCUGGAUUGUAAGUGUUGGAGUAGGGGUUAUUCUGCUUCAAAAAUUUUAUCUCUUCAAUUUGUUGAGGGGUGGCAAAGAAAUACACAGUAUGGUGUGGUCCAUUACAGAUUUCACAAGUGAUGGUCUGAGCACGUUAAACUUGAGCUACCUAUUGGGUACCUAUGUUCAUAACUUUAAAUUUCUUUUCCACUUCAGCGACUACUGUAUCUUCCAACCGGAUUUUUUUAGUUUCCAACUUCAGAUCAAUCACUUCAUCAGAUAUACUAGUACACCUAUCAUAUAAUUCCAAAUGCUCAUUGGCAACUAUCACUUCAAUAAUAUUUUUAAUACCGGUGAGUGUUGAGAAAUUUGUUGAGCCACCAACUGCUGUAUCAAUCAAUUGUUUUGUCUUUAUUUUCAUCCCAUUAACAAACAUUUGCAUCUGUUCAGUCUGAUCCACAUUAUGAGUUGGGAAAGCUACUAAGACCCUUUUGAAUCUUUUGUAGGAAUCUCCCAAAGACUCACCAUCCUUCUGUUUGAAGUUCAAGAUUUCAUACCUUUUUCUCAAAAAUAUCGAUGAUGGGAAAUACUCAUUUAAGAAAGUAGUUUCCAUCUCUUCCCAUGAUGUGAUGUUGUCGGCAUGGAGAGAGUAGAACCACUCUUCCGCCUCUUCAACUAAAGUGAACGAGAACAUUAUUAACUCCUUUGCUUUAUCAAUAUGACCAUCAAUUUUCAAAGUAGUACUCAUGGUCAGGAAUCUCUGCAAGUGCUUGUUUGCAUCUUCAUUAACCUUUUCGGUGAAAUGUUUUCUUUCAAGUUGAUUGGUUAUGCUGGGAUGCAGCUGGAAAUUAGUCACAUUCACCGGUUGGUUGACAAUUGUCAACUACCAUCUGAUGCAUUUGCGCCUCCAUGAUCACCAAGGAGUCUCUUUGGAGGUGGAGGUGGAACUGGAGGAACUUCAACCAUAGUUUCUUUUUCUGAAUCUGAAUCUGAGUGAUCAGAGGGAACUUCUUCUUUGGAAUUCACUCUAGCGUGUCUGAGUCUCCGGUGAAGGGUUCUCUCGAUUUAUGCGUCAAAAAAAAUUCAACUGAGGGCUCUCAUCGCAUACACAGAUUAGUGAAUGAAAUUAUAUAAAUGACAAAAAAAUAAUUUUAUUGCAGAGCAAUAAAAUUUUAAUUGAACUAAAAUUAAACUCUAUAUUUUGGUAGUCCCUGACAACUGUGCCAAAAACUUGAUCCGAAAAAUAGCAAGUGUACUAUUUUGCUUUUUGUAGUAAUAAAGGGGAAAUUCCCCGAAUAUCGAUCUCAAGGACUGCAAGUUAAUAUCGAGUUCAAAUCAUCUUUCAAUUAAACAAAAAAUAGUGUUAGGGGUUUUAGAUUUAUAUUUAUAAAAAUAAAGGCAAAUGAAAUUAAUACUGUAAAAUAAGGGUUUGCAAAGGAAGAGGAACAAUGCCAGGGAAUGUGUAUAAUUUGUCCUUGUAACAACUCUGAGUCACUAUUGCAUCAACAAAUAUCAAUUACUACCAGUUCUUAAGGGUACUUUCUCCCAAGUACUUGGUGAGAAAACCUUUAAUCAUUCAACCCUAAUUUCUAUGUCCAUAGGAAAUUAUCGAUGAAAUUAAGCCUUAUUAUAUCAAGAAUGCUCAGGUUCAUACAUGGUAUCCCUGGUCCUAGAUGAUAUCUAUUGCAGAUUAGUCUUAUGAAAACCUUACUAAUGGCGGUCCAACUUAAUUGAUAACCAUACAACAAUCUCAAUUGGUUCGAAAGAGAAAGCAUUAAACACAUCAAAAGAUUACUGUAAAAACAAUAUUAUCAAUGCAAUCGUAAACUCAAAGUCAUUACGGAUCUAAAUCAGGGACACUCCUUAGCAUUGAGGGGUUUAGCUACUCAUAUUGUUCAAAACUGAUUCAAGAUAAAAAAUAAACAUUAAAAGUAAUUUGGAUGACUUGGAUCUUCAAUUGCUUCCGCUCAUAAAAUUCUUCUGCUCUCUGAAUUCCUUGAUCUCUCUAAUUCUCGAUCGUCUGACAAUUUUCUGUGCUCUGUUUUCUCCUCGUUCCAAAAUGUAUUCUCCUCUCUUAGAAACUCUCUUAAAUAGUGAAAAUCCCUUGACAAUGGUUGGAAAUUCCCAAAACGUCCUUGUUGCUAAAGCCCAGGUAAAAAGCCCAAAAAAUGAAAAAUUAGCGCCUGGGCUGACACGACCAUGUCAGCUGACACAGGCGGUCGUGUCAGCUGACAUGGGCGAUCGUGUCAGGCCCCUGCCUUGCUAGUCUAUUCUCUUUUCACUUUCAAAUGGGCUGACACGGCAUGUGUCAGCUAAAACAGGUGGCCAAGUCAGGCCUCUGCCUUGCCGGUCUAUUCUCUUUUCACUCCUAAGUGGGCUGACACGACCUGUGUCAACUGACACGACCUGUGUCAACUGACACGGGUGGCCGAAUCAGGCCCCUGUCUUGGCCAUCUCUUACAGUUUGUUUUGCCUUCAUCCUGACACGGCCCGUGUCAGGUGACACAGGUGGCCAUGUCAGACCCCCUGUAUUGAGGAAUCUCCUUUCAUCGAAUGUCGGAACCCUCGAAUUUCUUGCAUUGAGUCCGUUGGAUCUUCUACUUGGACAUGGAGGGAAUAAAAACAAACAACCAAAGCAUAAAAUCCUGAAAAUACAAAAUAAAACUAAAAACUGAUAAAAUGCUUAAUUUACUUACAGAAAUGAAAACUAACUUAAAAAGGUACAAUAAUACGCACAAAGUAUUCUAGAAUCCUUGGUUUCUUGUCGAAUAAGUAAUGAAAACAUAGUGAAAAUGGUGGCCGAUCAAUUGGAAUAAGUAAAAAGGCAACUUUUGCAUUCAUCAAGGAUCAUAUUUGGAAGAGAAUUAAUUCGUGGUGAGGUCUCCAUUGUCUAAGGCAGGAAAAAAGGUAAUGAUCAAAUCAGUUCUUCAAGCAAUUCUUGCUUAUGUUAUGAGUGUCUUUAUCAUACCUGAUACUAUAGCGGGCGAUAUAGAGAAAAUGUUGAGUUUAUUUUGGUGGGGAGAAGGUAACAAUAAUAAGGGGAUUAGAUAGUUUACUUGGGAAAGUUUGACUUGGCGUAAGAACGAAGGCCCCCCGAGCUUUCUGUAGGAUCAAGCGCUUACCACUGCGCUAAAAGCAAUUGCUGUUAGUGAUGGUGCAACUUUAUUUCCUUACAGUAUGAGCCCUCAGGGGCUGCACCUAAAUUGAGGUUUGUAAGCUCCCUCUAAGCCCCAUGGGUUGGGAUGUUAAGCCCAUUCGAAUCCCUAAGGAUGACGCUGGAUUUUUUAUUUAUCCAACAAUCUCCCCCCAAUGUCAGCCGGGGUGAUUCGAACCCAUGACCAUGCUCUGAUACCACUUGUAGGAUCAAGCGCUUACCACUGCACUAAAAGCAAUUGCUGUUAGUGAGGGUGCAACUUUAUUUCCUUAUAGUAUGAGCCCUCAGGGGCUGCACCUAAAGCGAGGUUUGUAAGCUCCCUCUAAGCAGCAACUUUAUUUCCUUAUAGUAUGAGCCCUCAGGGGCUGCACCUAAAGCGAGGUUUGUAAGCUCCCUCUAAGCGCCAUGGGUUGGGAUGUUAAGCCCAUUCGAAUCCCUAAGGGUGACGCUGGAUUUUUUAUUUAUCCAACACUUUCGACAUUUUAAGGCAUUUAACUUGGCUAUGGUGGCGAAACAAGGGUGACAUAUAGUGACAAAACCGUAGACUUUGGUAGCUAGAGUUUGUAAAUCGAAAUAUUUCCAAAAGUCCUCUUUUUUGAAGUUAAUCUUCGAAAUAAUCCCAGUUAUGUCUGGAGAAGCUUAUGGAAAGCUAAGGAUGUUAUGUUAUUGGGAAGUAGAUGGAGGAUUGAGGAUGGGAACAAGAUCCAUGUAAUGGUCGAUCCAUGGUUGAAGAUGGGAAGAAAAUGUUGGAUUAGAGCACCACAAGGCCAAGAUGUGUAUAAUUUGAAGGUUAACAACCCUUUGCUUACUAAUGGUAAAUAAUGGACUGCCCCAUAAAAUUGAGCAGUUGUUUUCUCACAAUAUAGUUAAGGAAAAUAUGAAGGUUCCACUCUUGGAGGAUGUUAACGAGGAUUGCUUGGUUUGGAAAGAAGAGCAAAAUGAUGUCUAUAGUGUUAAAACAUGAUAUAAAUAAUGGAUGUAUGUUCAAAGCAAUCAUAGAAGGUGUAAUGUGGAAGGAGAUUACGAUAGUUUGUGGAAGAUAAGGUCUAUACUAAAAAUUAAGCACUUACUUUGACGGAUUUAUCAUUGUUGUCUUCCUAUCCGAGGCCGACUUCGACAACACUAUGUUCUGUGUCCUACCAUGUGUCAAUUAUGUGAAGAAGGUGUAAAAGAUGAGUGAAAUGUGUUCUUUGGGUGUACAUUAACGUUCCAAUGUUGGAACGUGGCGAGUUUGGGUGAUAUUAUCACACCACGACUACAAAGGAUCAAUGAUGGGAGGACUAUGACUCAAGACAUAUGUAGUAAAAAGGAUAAAAUGGUUACAGGUAGAGUGGUUGUCAUGUCCUGGGUUCUUCGAAAUAAUAGGAAUAAUUGGAUUUGGAAUAAUGAGAAGGAUUGCACGAGGCAGUUGGGUAUGCAAACAUAUCAUAUUUAUAGCUCAAAAUAACCAACUUAAUGGUGACAAUAACCACAAAAACCAGCAUCAUCCUUUGUGGCAGCCACCUAGUGUUGGGUGGGUGAAAUGUAAUGUGGAUGAUGGAUUUAAUAAACAAUGGGGAACAAAUAACAAAUGAUGGUGUUAUAGACAUUGUAAUGGAAGAUUCAUCAUGGCGGGAACAACUUGGGAUGUUGGUCUUUACACAGUCAUCGAAGUAGAUGCAUUGACAUUAAAAGAAGUUGUGCAAAGAGCCAUUCAAAUGCAAAUGGAUCAUAUUAUUUUCGAGCGUGAUUCUGAAAUGGUGAUGCAUGCUAUCCAUGCUAAUUAUGGUGGCAAUUCUAAAUUUAGUGUGAUCAUAUAUAAUAUUAUCAUUUUGAUAGAUUUACAUUCCAACUCUAAGGCGAAGUUUGUUAAGCGUCAAACGGAUUCGAUUGCCAAUUUGUUAACUAAAGCGCCCAAUUCUUGAACUAGGCGUAAGUUUAUUCAUUCGAUUCCUCCUUAUAUUGAGAAACAAUUGUUUAGUUAAAUGAAUUAAGUUUCUUUGUGUAAUUUUUUUUAUAAAAGAACAUCCAUAUUUUUAUAUUUAAAUUCUUCAACUUAACUUUGUGAUCCGAUGUGUUUGAAAUAUUAAAUUAAUGUUUAAUGAUUUAAGUAUAUAUUACUAGGAGCAAAACACUAUGUCAACAACACACAAAAUUGUUUUUUUUUAUAGAAAUUUGGUAUCCUCUAUACGCAAUCGUAGAGAUUAAUCCCUUGAGUUGAAUAAAAUCACAAUGGAUGAUAAAACUUCCAAGAAAAUUUAACCUUGAUGCAUGUAUAACACAUCAAAUUGUAUGAAAAUUAUAUUUUAAAUGAUAGUUAUAAAUAUACAAAAAUAUAAGAAAAUGGGAAAAUGUUUAAAUAGAAUUGCUAGAGUAACUUAAUUCAGAAUGGGCAUUUUUUUUCUGAAGAAACAAAUGGCCCUUUUAUAAAAAAAAAGACCGUAAGCCCAAACAAGAAAAAAAACUAAAACCCUAUAAAACAAUAAAUAAUUUGAUAUAAGUAGGGCUAACGUGUACAACAAAUUGUUCUAGGGGGUUUAUUCAUUCAUCGUUUCACCUUGUAGCCGCCGCAACACUUCAACCAGCAGCCACCAAAUCCAAUGGUAUGCACUCUUCACCUUCUCUUCUUCUCUCUCUCCCGUUCUUCUCCGAUUUGGAUUUCAUUUUCAUUUUCCCCUAAUUUUACGAUGUAUUUUUGUGAACUAAACCCAGGCUUCCGAGGCGAAAUUGGCUAACCCUAUGAGGGAUAUCAAGGUUCAGAAGCUUGUCCUCAACAUCUCCGUUGGUGAGAGUGGAGAUCGUCUCACCAGAGCUGCCAAGGUUCAUUGAUUUCCUCCUUCGAUUCUUUUUUCGUUUUCGAUUUAAAUUUAUUUAUUAAUAAUUUUUAUGUGUUGUAGGUGCUAGAGCAACUCAGUGGACAAACCCCAGUGUUCUCCAAAGGUUAAUCAUUGAUUUCCUCCUUCGAUUCUUUUUUCGUUUUCGAUUUAAAUUUAUUUAUUAAUAAUUUUUAUGUGUUGUAGGUGCUAGAGCAACUCAGUGGACAAACCCCAGUGUUCUCCAAAGGUUAGUUACAGCAAUUUUAGUAUUAUGUUUGUAAUGGGUAUGGAUCUAAAGGCUAUUUUAAUUUAAGUUUUGUUUAUAAAUUAAUUUUAUCACCAUGGAUUAUAUUCUGUGAUUUUUUAUUUGAAAACUUAAUUUUAAUGUUGAGGCUGUUUUAGGGUUAAUAAUUUGAUGCCCAAUUGUUUUAUUUUUUUAUAACAAUGUGAAAGCUUUGAUAGUAGGGUAGUGUUGUUAGAAUGAGUUUGGUUGUGAUUUGCAAUGAUAAAAAGUUUGAACUUGUCACUUAUGUGGAGGUUGGGUUUGUUAUGUUUAUGGGUCUUGGGGGGUCAGAUUGGUUUUUAGCCUAUGUGAACGCGACUGAGUGGUUUUUGUGUAAGUUUGUAUGAAAAGUGGGAUUGAAAACAAUUUCUGUUAAGUUACAAAUCAUUUAUUUCUUUUGCUAUAAUUGUAAUACCAGUCCAAACUUAAUAGAGUGGCUAUGUUUAAAUUACAAAGCAUAUCUUUUGCUAAAAUUGUGAGCUCAUUGUUAUUUUGACAAGGGCUUUUACUUCUGAUAGAACUCUAUUAUUAUGGCUUCUAUUCAAUUAAGCCUCCUUUUCUUUUUUAAAAUACAUUUAUUUGGAUAUCUGGUGUUGUCUCAUUUUUAUUUUCUCUUUGGAUUUUGUCAGCAAGAUACACUGUCCGAUCUUUUGGUAUUAGAAGAAAUGAGAAGAUUGCAUGCUACGUAACUGUUAGAGGUGACAAGGCAAUGCAACUUUUGGAGAGUGGACUGAAGGUGAAAGAGUAUGAACUUUUGAGGAGGAACUUCAGUGACACUGGAUGCUUUGGUUUUGGUAUUCAGGAGCAUAUUGAUCUUGGAAUCAAGUAAGCUUCUAAACAAUCCUAGAGUUUCAUGAUACUCCAUAGAGUUUGACAUUUCAUUAUUUGACAUUGGCUAGUUUGAUUUCUAUUUGAACUAUUUACUCAUUAUCUCUAUACUUCAGAUAUGAUCCAUCUACUGGUAUCUAUGGUAUGGACUUUUUUGUUGUCUUGGAGCGUCCUGGUUAUCGUGUUGGUCGUCGCCGUAGGUGCAAAGCCCGUGUCGGAAUCCAACACCGUGUUACCAAGGAUGAUGCCAUGAAAUGGUUCCAAGUGAAGUAUGAGGGAGUGAUCCUUAACAAAUCUCAGCAGAUCUGAGUUAUUAUGUGUUAGGUUAUUGUUUUUUGGCAUCUAUAGUUUGUUGUCUUUUUGGAUACUGGCUUAAAUUAUGUUGAAAUUUUUGAUGGAUUGUUAUCAUAUUUUGAAUUUUCUGCUAUUUCAUGAUGAAGCAAUUGAGUAAACUUUUAACCCUGUUUAAAUACUUCCAAGUUUCCGAAUGCAGUUACAGUAGGUUGCAAUUUGCUUUAUUCUCUUUGCUUUUCGAAUGUGCGUUUCUGAAAAAUUGCCAUAAUUUUUCACGUUUAGGAAUAGUUUUAGUUUUGUAGCUUCUCCCAAAUCACAUAAAAUCAGUCUUUUCACGUGAGUUUAGGGUGAAAUUGCUUGUAAUAUUGAACUGAGAGAUUAUAUGUUAUGUUGGUUGGAGUGAUUUAAAGAUCCCAAUGUUCACAAGUUGUUUUUUCUGGGUUUUUCGAAUUCAUGCUAAAUCAUUGUUGGGUAUAUUUGCUCCCCACCAUUUUAACUUUUCCUCUCGUAAUUAGUAUUUUACGUGUUUUUUAUCCUUUCCAUUUGAUUACAUGCCAUUUUAUCUUGUCAUGUUAUAUAAUUUAAUAUAACACAGAUUGGGAGAGAAAUGGACGUUGAACAAAAUAAAGUUCAGUUGCAUUGUAAUAGAGAGUUUCAUGCUUUAUAGUUGUAGAGGUUGAAACAAAUGAAUGAACUUUGAUAACAAAGAUCAAGGUUUCUGGAAUCCUGAAUGUUUAGAUGAAUAUGUGGUAUCAAGGUUUCUUGAAUCCUGAAUGUUUAGAUGAAUAUGUGGUAUCAAGGUUUCUUCUUAGGACUUACAAAUCUACUUAUACACCUAUCAAGGUUUCUUGAAUCCUGAAUGUUUAGAUGAAUAUGUGGUAUCAAGGUUUCUUGAAUCCUGAAUGUUUAGAUGAAUAUGUGGUAUCAAGGUUUUUCGAAUUUUGAAUGUUUAGAUGAAUAUGUGGGAUCAAGGUUUCUCGAAUCUUAAAUCUUUAAUUCUAACAAAUAUGUAUAGGUUAAAAAGGUUAAAGAAAUCGAGAAAAUAACAUGGCUUUAUAGAUUUUGUAUAUAUUUGAUGUUGUUAAAAUAUAAGCUUACAUGUAUAUGUAUCCAUAAUUGAUGAGAUUGAAUGUACAAGAUCAAGUACAAGAUACAAGCAUAUCGAUGAGAUUGAAUGUACAUAAUUGGAGAAAUUAACUAAGCGGUUGGAUAAGAAGAAUCCAUGGCAAUGCCACACAAGCCUUCCUUAGCAGCUAUACCUCUUAGCAUUCUUAUGUAUCCUUUCUCACCCCAUACUGUUCCCCACGAAUUCUUAACCAACCAAUAAUCACUUCCAUUAGAACUUCCAUAACCAACAGCAGUAACGCCAUGAUCUAACUCAGUUCCGCAUUCUCCUGUAUAAAUUCCAUGCGAAUAAAACAUGAAACUUGAAUCACUAGCAUCAAUAGAAACUGAUAUUGGGUUGGUUACCACAGCUUUUGAGAAGUGCAUCCUUACUGUAACCGGAAACUUCUCGCUAUCUUUCAACUCUUAGCAACAGGAACCGUGUUGCAGUGUUACAACUUCAUCAGAGUUGCUUUAUAAGGAUAGUAGUCUCACUUGUGAUUCCACCAUUUUUAAUGAUAAAUUCAAAUCCAUCUUCCAUUAGUCCUCCUGCCACAACCUUGGUCUUCACUCUUUGUGUCACAUCUACCUAGCUCUGCCUCUGAGAAAGAGAUACUAGUUUUGCCUGUUGUUAUUGGUUGAUACCUUCAGUUGCAAGCACAGUUGGAAAAUGCCAGCAACUCGCCUUGAUUCAUUUUCAAAACAAAUAUUAAUUAUUGAAACAAAAUAAUAUCAAUAAUAAAAGCAUUCGUAAAAUACUGUUUACUGAUUAUGUUAUUUACCACAUUGUCCUUGAUUGCCUUGAUUGGAGGACGCUCCUUUUACCCUCCAAUCUACAGAUGCUGGAAUAGAAGUCACAUCUUCAUACUAAAUGAUGUUGAAGUUAACUCAGUAGUAGAAGACUCUUUUGUAACCAUUACGGGAAGCUUAUAAAUUCGUCAAGAGUCAAAUCAGCAAGGUGAUUAACACUUAGUUUGUAAGGUUUGUUGUUGGCAUCAUUGAAUGAUUCAAUGAAUUCAACAUUGUCCUUGAAUAUCAUGAAACGUUUGUCUUUCUCAGCAUCAUCAUUAUACACUUUGCUAUAUUCUGUCAUCCAUUGCUCGUGUCUUUCUUCUAAGGAUGGUGAUGAUGUUGAUUGUUGCAGCUUUCGGGACAUUACAUUGGUGAUAUUGAGAGCAAGGAUGAGGAACAGAACACACAUGUAUUGUUUUUGGUUGUUAGAAACCAUUUUGUUGUUAUCAAAGAAAGCCUUGUUGAGUUGAGGUGUGUAUGUUUAUGUGUUGGAGAAAGAAAUGUAAAUUGAUAUGAGUUGAAAUAAAAUGGAAGUGGUGGUUUAUAUAGAUAUAAAAAAAACUUUAAAUUAAUCUGAAUUUGCUGCCACGGCAUAUUUCAUUGUUUCUUUUAUUUAUUUAGUUAUUUUAUAUUAUUAUUUAAAGAACAUGGUAGCUUUUGUUCUGUCUAAGGGGAUUUUCAAUUUGGUUAAAACUCAUUAAACUACAUGUGAAAACAGAAUAGCGAACAACCUACCNUUUGCUGCCACGGCAUAUUUCAUUGUUUCUUUUAUUUAUUUAGUUAUUUUAUAUUAUUAUUUAAAGAACAUGGUAGCUUUUGUUCUGUCUAAGGGGAUUUUCAAUUUGGUUAAAACUCAUUAAACUAUUUAAUUAAGGUAAGAAAACAGAAUAGCGAACAACUUACACAAAAUCAAUAUAGUAUUAGUAAUAUACACGGGCAAGUAAUAUUUGGAGUUGAAGUUAUGGGAAAUUCAUUAUUUGAAUUUUAUCCAUAUAUUUGACUUGUCGAAUCUAACGUUGCAUGGUGAUUGAAUUCCCUUGCACGGAAUUUCCUUGCAUGACAUGACUGAAAUAUAGGCAGAUGACAUUUCUGUAUUCUCUAUCUAAUUUGAACAUGACCUCAAUUUAGUUUUUGAAAACAGUUUCUCUAUUUAAAAAUUCAAAAAUUUAAAACUUGUUUGAUUAGAAUGUUUAUAAAAUUGUUUUCAAAAACAACUUUCAAUUUAAUUGUUUCUAAUUGUUUUUAAGACCAAUAUAAAAAAAAGUAACUAAUAAAGGUGAAGUCAUUAAAAUGAUUUUUUUUUGUGUGGUUAUAAUCACACUCCGCCAAUUAGCAAAGCCUCUAAAGAUUAUAGUGCCACAUAGGAUUAUGUGGUGCAUGCCACUUAAUGUAUAUUCUCAUAUCUAUUAAUAUCAUGGAUAAAAAGUUAUCAAGUUUUUAUACAUGUGUAAAUAUUAUGAGUAAUACUUAAGUUGAUCCGCUUUGAGAAUACUUCGUGGAACAUUAUGUAAAGUGUUAUAAGUUAUUCUCACGGUGAUAGUAGUGUAUAUCACAUUUUGACAUGAAACCACAUUAUACCUUAGAUAUGAAGUCAAAUACUUUAUUGCCAAUCAAGCGUUGUCCAUAAUAGAAUGAACAUGAAGAUGGUUGAUGGGUACUCCAUAAAUCAUUUUGAGGGAAAUGAGUGACAUAAAUGAAAUUUUCGAAUCAUACGUAACAUGAUAUAUGCACUACUACAAAUAAUACAUUUUAUGACGACGAUUUCACCUCACGUAUUGAAAAACCGAUGUAUAAUUCUUAGACGCACCCUGUUUUUUGUUUAUAAAAAAAUAUACAACAUAUUCCGUCGAUUAUUUUGAAAAUCGAGGGAUAAACCUAUUCAAUGUACAUGUUUCAAAUCCCAUCAGUCUCAAUUAUUGUUUUUAUCUCAUUAAAAGUGGCAUCUUCUUGAAUAUUUUAUUUUUAAUCUAAAAGAACGUUACUUUUCGCAUCGAUUUUCUUUCCAACCGAGGUGAGUAUGCUUCUAUGAUAUAUAUAACUUUACCUUGUAGAAUCCAGUUUCACUUAUCUAAACAACACAAAUAGAACCCUAAAUAACGAGAACCAUAAAUACAUACCAUCUUCAAUAGGAAUAUGUUAUGUGUUUAGUGCUCUCCUUUCUUCUUCAGAGAUCCAAAUCAUUUUAUUUUACUUCUUCUUCAGAGAUAUGACAUGUCAAACAUCACUACUCAUACUGUUGUUAUUGUUGUUGUUGUUGUUGUUGAGAUCCGAAAUCCUAGAGAUUUUAUCUUGUUUUCAUUGAUGUUCUUUAUACAAAUUUAUAUUAUAGGUUUAUUGAUAUUAUUGUUGUUGUUGUUGUUGAGAUCCGUUAUUGAGACCCUAAACCCUAGAGGUUUAAUAUUGUUGUUGUUGUUGUUUAAGCAAGUUUAUGUUAUAAGUUUAUUGACGUUGUUAUUGUUGUUGUUGUUGUUGAUGUUGUUGUUGUUGUUGUUGUUGUUGUUGAGACUCGUUGAGAUCCUAAAUCUUAGAGGUUUAAUCUUGUUGUUGUUGUAUAAACUGAUUUAUGCUAUAGGUUUAUUGAUGAUGCUAUUGUAGUUUUGAUAAAAUAUUAUUUUUUUGAGUUUUUGUUUAAUGUAAGCUGUUGUUUUUGAGUUGUUGAUGUUAUUAUUGUCGUUGUUUAGUUGUUCUACUACCAAAAGUUAUGAAAAUCUAUAUGUUGUAGUUUAGUUGUUGUUAUUGAGUUUGAGUUUUAGAUUGAUAUUGAUAUUGAGUUUAUAUUUUUUUGUGACUCUUUGUGCAACUCUCAUCUUGUUCCGCCGAGUUAAGUUUAUUAUAUCUAAUGUCGAUUGUUUGUUUUACUAAUCCCUCUUUGAACAUAUAACCUAGUAAAUUAAUUUUGGAAAUAAUCAUAUGCAAAAUUAUGUUGUAUCUGAAACUUAUCUUACACUGAUUAAUGAUUUUCUAUAAUUUUGCAAGUCAUCAUUCAUCUCAUGCUGUUUUAUCGUUAAAAUCUCUCAAAUACUUCUAGUUUCACUCAACUUUCUUCCAUAUUUAUUCAUUUUUUAAAGCAUCAAAUUUUAUGUUUUCAAGAAUGAAUUAGUAGAAAAGGAAUGGUUGAGUAAAAAACUUGAAACAUUGGAGAGAUUUAACCAUAAAAUAACGUGAGAUGAAUGAUGAGUUGUAUGAUGCUUCAAAAUCACUAAUCAAUGUAAUUUUUUCUUCUAAUAUAACAUAAUUGUUCAUAUAAUUAUUUCCUACCCAAUUUUGAGAAGUUAUAUGUUCAAUAUAGGGUUUAGUGAAAUAAGCAAUCCACAUUAGAUUUAAUAAACUCAAAAUUAUUUUGCCUCUCGGUUUUAUUAGAUAAUCGAGGUUAAAAUAUGGUAUAUUGUUCGCUAUGAAUUUUGGCGAACAACCUCUGAUUUUCCAAAACUUGUAGAAUUGGGUUACUUGCAGGAUCAACCACACAAAUCCUAGGACAUGUGCAAAUCUAAAUAACUUCGUAAAUCUCUAGAACGACUUUUGUAUCUUUUAUUUGACUCAUUAAGUCUUUUAUGUCGAAAGGUAUUGAUUACAAUUGUUUAAAUAAAUGUAAAUUUGACAAGAAUAAGAUGAAUGACAGAAAAUAACUAGCAAAGCAUAAAGUGUCGAAAAGGAAAUGCAGAAAGAUAAAUGACUGGUAAAUGUAAAGGAAAACUGGUAAAGAACUUUGAAUUCUAUAAGAUAAAACUUUGAAAGAAUUGGUGUUUGUUUACAUGUACAUGUUCCAAAUAAGACUCUUUUCUCUCACACGGGUACUUUGAGUGUUUGCAGGAAUUUGUACAAGUAAUUUUUCACACCCUUUUUCAGAUAACAACUAUCCUAUUUAUAUACAACAAAAAUAACUGUUACUAACGAAUAAAUCCUAAAACUAUGACACUUGGCUUUCUGCAUAACUUCCUUUCGCCAGGUGCUUCCACGUGUCUUCUGCAAAACGUCACAACUCUUUUGAAUUUGAAAUUUCACUUUACGUCGGAAAUGACGUCUCUCUCCACGCUUGUCGAAUUGUCGAAAUACUAUAACAUCAUCCAUGCCUGUCAAGACGUCUUUCCAUCUACAAAUAUCUUGUCGAAAUGUCGAACAACACUUAUCAACUAACUUGUUAAUCUCAUGACGUCAUUUGUCGAAAGAACCAUUCUGCAUACUAAUCUCAUGGCGUCAAAAACGCAUGUAUACAAAUUGCCCCCCAACAAAGAUGUUUCGACUGUUUUGGAGAAACAGUCAUUUGUUGUCAACCAGUGUUUUGAUGCCAUGUCAUUUAAUUUCAUUAUUUCCAAGUUUUUUGUAAUCUCAAGUUCCAAUACAGAUUCAUCAUUACACUUUCUCCAAGAUGUCACGUCUAGCCCACGUCCAGACUUUACCUCCAUCAUUUCCUAACAUCAUGGCCUUUUUUCAACUUCCACCUCUUCAACAUCACCAUAAAAAUCGGCCACGUGUCCCACUAUCAUCAUUACCAUUCUAAAGUGCUUUCAUCAUCUUCCUCCUAUAAAUACCCAUAAACCUUUUUUCUUUGAACUUUUUAACGCUUCAGAUUACUUUUCUUCAUACCCAUUUCUUAAGCUUUCAUAACUCCCCUGAGAAAUAUUCCUUUGUUCUUCCCAACAAUGGCUCCUCACAAACCUUCAAGCAGCAAACAUUCCAAGAAGAAACAAGAUCCAGCUCUCUCUCCUGUGCAUGAUUUGAAGGUACCAAUGACUAUUGGAAAUCAACAGUAUGUCUGGAACCUCCAAUAUGAGAACAGAAAAAGAAUGCAUCUAUAGAUCCCAGGUAUUAAUUCCUGUUCUUAUUUCUGGAAACUCGUAGCUAUUUAGGCCCCCUUCCAAAUCCUGAGAUUAAACAGAUCGUUUAAGAGAUUUUUCCAUGCUUAUUUCCAUACAAAACCCAUAGCGAUGGAGUGAAACCUCAACCUAAGGAGAAAAUUGUAGAACAAUAUUGACCCAUCGAGUUCGACGGAUGCUGGAGAGUUGAACUUAAACUAUUUGAAUUACAACAGGAUAUUUAGAACCUGUCCAUGGUCGAAAGACCCUUCUGACUACUUAUCUUGGUAGAUAAAAUCGAAAAGGUUAAGGGAUUUUUGGAAAAGAAUAGGCAUUUUCGACCUUAUCAGUUGUCGAGAGUAGGACCCAAUAUUGCCCAAAUGAUGCUUUUGGCUUCUCUCGUACUUCUGGAUAGUACCUACAAACACCUUUCACCUUCCUUGUGGGAUGUUACGGCCCACUCUUUUCGACGCAGCAGCCAUUGUUGCCUUCAUCCCAAUGGUAUAGAUUUCGACCCUACUAUCCUGAAUGAAGAUACCAUCGCUUUCGAGUACUAGCCUCGCCCCGUAUUAUUUAUUUACGUCUAUUAUCAUGACAAGAGCACCACGGAAGUCUGAGAUGUGAACCAUGAGCCUUUUUACUCUGUGGCUAUCCAAAUAUGUGUUCUGCUCUCGCUCCCUCCAAGUUGCCAAGAGAUUCAUCACCAUAGCCAAUCAGCUUCAUGCAGGCACAAAACUAUGUUUGAGCGAAAUGAUUCUGGCGAGCCUUUAUGAAUCUCUGAGUGAGAGCGUACAUCUUUUGAAAACCAUCAAAACCCAAGGUAAAAUCAACUUAUCAGGACCUUUCUGGCUCUUGCAAUUAUGGUUUAAUGCCGCCUUUGAAGCUUCUCUCCCUGUAGAGCCAGAGGUAGAUGAAGAAGAAGUGAAAAAUAGGACUGUCGAAUGGCCAAGGUUGGUGCACAUAACGCCAACUGAUGAAGGGAUUAGCCUUCGACAAGCUUUCAAAGGCUAUGUCAUGAUGUUUUCCAAGAGGUAUCAGUUUACUUCGACCAUGACACCUUUUGCUGAUAGAAAAAUUGGACCUAAAUGGUUUACCCAACAACUGCCUUUGGAAAUGUAGAAGGAUGAAAAUAUAUUUCUGAAUGUUUGGGAAUCAUUCUUAACCCCUAGGCUCCUUUUUUCUUAUCGUAAUGCCACUAAAACCCAAAUUACUUUGAUAGUUUAUCAACCCAACCUUGUUUCUAGACAGUUUGGCCUGAUCCAGAUAAAACCUCGACCUAUAUUCCCCAAGAAAGGAUCCAUCAUCUUCUACAACUCCCUUCAUACUGAAGGUGAGGGCAAAGAACUGUCGAAGAAACUGACUGAUGACUCUCUCGACAUCCGACCAGUGAUCUUUCGACCAUCAUUCCUAUGUACUCCUGAAUUUGAUGAAUGGUGGAAAGAUUAUUAUUCCAACAGAUUUUUUGACGUGGCUGCCUUUGCUACACAUUUAACAAAUGCUUUCGCUUUUGUGCAGGAUCGGACCAAAAAAGGUAUUCAAAUACACAUUAGGGAAAUACAAAAAUUUCAAAAAUAUUUCGAAACUGCGUAUAGACCUGAUGAUCUUAGUCGAACCAUACACGAAGCAGCAGCAGAGUUAAAACGUAAAUUGACGGAGAAGUUUGAAAAAUUGUCAUUGCCUUCAAAUAUUCGACCAGAGGCGCGAUAUGACCUGGCUUUCAGUUGUCAUCCACCAAAGUUUCCUCCUUUGCCAACUGUUGAAUUUGGCGUGGCUUUAGCCCUCCAUUUCCAGAUUGGUUCGUUUGUGGGGAUUUUAUGAAAAUUCUUCGUCAACAGUACAAAAAACCUGCUGAGCGUAUGGUUCCGACUAAGUAUCAUCUGGAUGAAUACCCAGGACACCUUCAUAUUGGAAUAGAACACGUUCGCGUGGAAGAUCCCAUUCUUGAAGGUGUUCACAGAAAACAUGAUUUUUCCUUUUGUUAUUCUAACUGUAUUAUCAUGUGUUUCUUAUAUCUGUUUCUGAAUCUUCUUUCUUUCCUUAGCCGUGAGGAUUCCUGCCAAGAAAACUUCUGUUGAAGCAUCACCAAGUGCUGCUAAGAAACAUUCGACAAAGGUACAACCCUUUUUUCUUCUCAUUUAUUUUUUCCCUUUUAAAACUAUCUGGCUUUGAUCUGCAUGACUAGGUAAGUCAAAAACCCCCAACAAUCCAGAAGAGAAAGAGUGAAGAGGAGAAAGAGGAGGAUAAAGUUCCUAAUGAAGAGUCUGGUGACGAAUCUCCAGAGCUAAUCCUUCCUCCUCAGAAAAAGAAGAAAAUCACGAAGGUCUCUUCUCAAAGGUCCAUUGUUAAAUCAACCAGGAAGGAUUCUGCAAGUACUCCCACUACUAAACUUCAGUCGAAGGACACGGAGAGCGGGAGAUCUAGCUUUAACACUGAGAUUCCUGAGGUAAGUCUUUAUUUCGACUGUAUAUAUUCACCUUCUUUGAGAGUGUGUUCUAUAUCUCAAAUGAGUAUUUUUACUCAAUUUUAGUGCUAUAUCUCAAGCACAUAUAUAAAUCAUUUUAUGUCAUUUUUCAAAAGAGUGUGUGCUAUCAUCAUAACUUUGAGAGCCUUUCAAAAAUGAAGUUUUUAGCUUUUAAAGUACACUUAAUCACAAUUAAAUUUUAGAUCUAAUCUUUUUAAACCUCUAAUAAGAUACUAUGAGUUGUUUGCUUCUUAAUUCUUAGAGAACAUGUGAUCUAUCAUGAGAAGUGUCUUUUAUCAUUGAUGUUUGUGAAGUACUUGAGUUGUAGGUCAAGAUUUGGGUGUUGCUUGGAAUUGAAAAUCCAGCAGAAGUAAAAAAGAAAGGAUUUCUUCUCCACCGAAGACUUUUGUAGAACUGAGUAAAGGUUGUUGCGAAAUGAGUUUGAGAGUUUCUAUUACUUCAGAUGAGCCAAUUGUUCAGACAAGAUACUAAUAAGAUUAAGUAAAGAUCACAACGGAGCAGAUGCUUAGAGCAGAUUUUGGAUAUGAGUAAGAGGACAAUCAAGAUUGAAUGAAGGUCAUGGCAUUUAAACUGUGUUGGAUGUGCACAACAAAAGAAGAAAAAAAUUCACAUUGAAACUGUUAAUUUUUGUUUUUAAGUUGAUUGUAUUGAUUAGCUAGGUUGUUCAUAGUUCUAUAUUUUAUUUUAUUGUCUAAAAAUUGAGUAACUCGUCGUACAAAUCCAACAUAUAUGCAAUAAAAUUUCCGCUGUCCAAUUUUAUAAAAAAUAUGAUUUUUGAGAAAAUCUUUCCGAAAUAAGUUUUAAAGAAAUGUCUAUUCAUCCCUCCUUUCUAGACUUUUCUCACCCAUAUUUUCCCCUAAAAUUUAUAGUAGAAGAUAUGGUGGAAAAUAUAUUUAGUUGAUUUGAGUUUAUAGAGAGAAGACAUGUAAUUUAAAAAAUAAAGAGAGUAGAUGAAAUGAAGAUGAGUCAAACCAUUAGAGACAGAGAAAGACCUACAAAAACAAUAAGAGAAAUUAUUAUGAAAGAUCUAGAGAUUAAUGAUUUGGAUAUAAAUAUAAUCAUAAAUAGAACAUUAUAAUAAAAGUUGAUUCACAUAACUGAUCAUACUUAAUAAGAUAAGUUUUGGAUUUGUUGUUGUUAUGGAUGCAAUCGUGUAGUGUGUCUAUCCUUUGUUUAAAUAACACAACUAUAUAGAUUUCAUAAAUAGAACAUUAUAAUAAAAGUUGAUUCACAUAACUGAUCAUACUUAAUAAGAUAAGUUUUGGAUUUGUUGUUGUUAUGGAUGCAAUCGUGUAGUGUGUUUAUCCUUUGUUUAAAUAACACAACUAUAUAGAUUUCAUAUUAAUGUAUUAAUGUUUUCAAAAUAUAAGUUUACAUGUAUGAAUGUAUAAUUUCAUAUAGAAAAGGAAAAUACAAGCAUGAUCGAGAUUGAAUCUAUACAUAAUUGGAGUUGUUAAUUAAGCAGUUGGAUAUGAAGAAUCCAUGGCAAUGCCGCACAAACCUUCCUUAGCAGCUAUACCUCUUUGCAUCCUAAUGUAUCCUUUCUCACCCCACACUGUUCCCCAUGAAUUCUUAACCAACCAAUAGUCAGUACCAUUUGCACUUCCAUAACCAACAGCAGUAACGCCAUGAUCUAACUCAGUUCCGCAUUCUCCUGUAUAAAUUCCAUGCGAAUAAAACAUGAAACUUGAAUCACUAGCAUCAAUAGAAACUGAUAUUGGUUGGUUAGCCACAGCUUUGAGAAGUGCAUCCUCACUGUUAACCGGAACUUUCUCGUAUCCUUUAAUCUUAGCAACAGGAACCGUUGUUGCAGUGUUACAACUUCCAUCAGUUGCUUUAUAAGGAUAGUUAGUCUCACUUGUGAUUCCACCAUUUUUAAUGAUAAAUUCAAAUCCAUCUUCCAUUAGUCCUCCUUCACAACCUUGGUCUUCACCUUUUGUGUCACAAUCUACUAGCUCUUGCUCUGAGAGAGAUACUAGUUUGCCUGUUGUUAUUUGGUUGAUACCUUCAGUUGCAGCAACAGUUGAAAAUGCCCAGCAACUCCCUUGAUUCAUUUUCAAAACAAAUAUUAAUUAUUNNNNNNNNNNNNNNNNNNNNNNNNNNNNNNNNNNNNNNNNNNNNNNNNNNNNNNNNNNNNNNNNNNNNNNNNNNNNNNNNNNNNNNNNNNNNNNNNNNNNNNNNNNNNNNNNNNNNNNNNNNNNNNNNNNNNNNNNNNNNNNNNNUACCAUUUGCAUCUUCCAUAACCAAGCCGUAACGCUGAUCUUAACUCUCUCGCAUUUCCUGUUAAAUUCCAUCGCAAUAAAACAGUGAAACUUGAAUCACUAAUCAAUAGAAACUGAUAUUGUUGGUUAGCCACAGCUUGAGAAGUGCAUCCUCACUUGUUACCGGAACUUUCUCGUAUCCUUUACAUCUUAGCAACGGAAACCGUUUGCAGUGUUACAACUUCCCAUGCCACUGCUUAAUAAGGGAUAUUAGUCUCACUUGUGAUUCCACCAAUUUUUUUAAGUGAUAAAAUUCAAAUCCAGUCUUCCAUUAGUCCUCCUUCAAACCUUGGUCUUCACCUUGGUGUCACAUCUACUAGCUUUGCUCUGGACGAGAUACUAGUUUGCCUGUUAUGUUAUUUGGUUGAACCUUCAGUUGCAGCACAGUUGAACAAUGCCCAGCAACUCCCUUGAUUACAUUUGCAAAAACAAAAUUAAUUAUUCGAAACAUAUAAUAUCAUAAUAAAGCAUGGUUAAAAUAUUGUUCAGUUCUUAUGGUUACUUACCACUUUGACCUUGCGUCUUGAUCUGGAGUUUAAAGCUCAUUUACCUCCAUCUACAGAUGCUGAGGAAUAAAGUAAACUUUCUACUAAUGAUGGUGAGGUUAACUCAUAUGUAGAAGACUCUUUUUGUAACCAUUACAGGAAGCUUUAACUUCGUAAGAGUCUAAUCAAGAUUAUUAACAACUUUUAUUAUUGUUGGCAUACUUAUUAUGAUUUCAUGAAUCAAGCACUGUCCUUAAUUCAUGAAACGUUUCUUCUCGACAUCAUCUUAUACACUUUCAUUUAUUCUUGUCGUCAUUCUUCGUUCUUCUUCUAAAUUAUUUUAUUGAUUGCAGCUUCACAUACAUUAUAUAGACAAAUGAACAGACACAAUGUUUCGUUAAACCUUUUUAUUCAAGGAAAGCUUAUAUGUUCUGGUAAAAAAAUAAUAUAUAUAAUAAAUAUGCGUAUAUAGAUAUAAAAAAACUAAAUAAUCUGAAUGCGACUAUUUCUACAGUUGAAACAUGAUUGAAUUGUAACUGAUUAUUGCACGAAUGCAAUUGGUUACCACACUAUAUCAAUGAAACAAAAGCGUUUAGUAACCGAUUAUUGCGGGGAUGUAAUCGAUUACAACAAUAGGUUUUUGUUUGUUACAUGUACCUCAUUCCAUGUAAAUGUACAUAUACCCUUUGGGUAUUUCAAUAAUAAAGUCUUCACCAUUUUCACCCUCAAUAUUUACUCUCUCUCAUUCUCCCACUCUCUUACUCUCCGCAUUGAAAAUCAUCAUUCAUCUUCACUCAAUCUUGAUCAUCCUCUUACGCAUAUCCAAAAUAUGCUCCAAACAUUUGUUUCACUGUGAUCUUUACUCAAUCCUAUCAGUACCUUGUCUGAACUCUUGGCUUAUCUGAAAUAGAAACUCCCAAAUUCGAAUUUUUUAUCUAAAUAUCGCACUUUUUCAAAAUAAAAUCCAAAAUAACCCCGUUUUCAAAAAAAUUCUCAAACUACCCCAGUUUCAAAAAAAAAUACGUAAGGCAUAGGCGCCAGAUCCAAUUUGCGCCUAACCUUAAACUUUAAGUGCGGCGCCAAUUGGAUUGGCUACAUCACAUGGUGUUGUCAAUUCAAUUGGCGUCCAUGUGUAAUUUUGAAUAGGAGGCGUCAAUUGGUCUGCCGUCUCAGUGUAAUGUGAAAUUUUUUGAUUAUAAAUAGAUGUGUUGUGUGAUUCAUUUUUCCACAUCUCAUUUCAUCAUAUUGCAAACAUGUUUGGUGUUCGUCGUCGCUAUGGAAAAAUGAUUUAUUCGAGAGACAAGUCUUCGAUGUUAAUGCUCUUCUAGAACAUUUGUAGUUUGGAUCAACUGGAGAGAGAGUUGGUUCAAUUGUUAGAUGGAAAAAUACCAGAAGGAGAAAAAAUUAGAAGUAUUGAGAGACUCGAUAAUAUAUUUGAUUAGGUGCGAGUAAAAACUAAUAAGGAUGGUAGGGAAAUGAUGUUUGGAUGAGAUGACAUCAGUUUGAUUGUUGUAAUCAGUUAGAAAUGUUCUGUUUUAAGUUUUCUUAUGUUGUGGUGAUGUUUAUCGUUAACCUUGUUGUAACAAAAAGAUAGUGAUAUAUAAAAAUGCAAGGUUAUAAAAAUUGAAAGGAGAUACUAAAUUAUGAUGAAGAUGUUGCUCCUAGAUUGGGACAUUUGUUCUUAUCGUGUCCUGGUUGACGAUAUAUACUACAUAAUCUAAUCAUUUUAUCAGUCGUAUCCAUUUUUGUUCUAAUACGCGUGCUAUUUGGCCGUCCUUUUUUCUUUCUUCGCAUCUCAUCGUUAUGCCAAAUUAUGUCACCUUCAUAUGGAGGACAGUAUUCCUCCAUUGGUAGCACUGAGAAGGUUUUGUUAUACACAUUCAUGAUGGUAAUGGCCUUGUAAACAUCAGAUAGAUGGUUGUAAGUGUCCUUGCGAGUAUGUGUGCAUGCUGCAAUGACAUGGGAGCAAGGAAUACGGAAGGCCUGGAACUUUCCAUAAUCGCACCAACUUUUGUUUAGUUUGACAGCAUAUGAUAAAUUUGGCAUUCCCUUAUUGUGGUCCAUUGUUUCCUGUACACUGAAAUUUUGCCUAUGACAAUCAAAGACUGUAACCGUGUGUGUGCUAGCUUUGAUGCUUUCCUCUUUCAUCACUUACAUACAACAUUCACUGAAUAUUUGACCAGACAUUAACAUUUCACUCCAUCUUUCACCUCUGGUUGCGAAGGUAGAAGCCAACCUAAAAUAGGUUGUUCUGACCAAAGCGGUUAUUGGUAGAUUUCUAAUGCCUUUGAAUACGUCGUUCAUGCAUUCCAUAAGGUUUGUUGUCAUGUGGCCCCAUCGAUAGCCUCUGUCAAAUGCCCUUGUCUGCUACUCUACUGGUAUGUUAUCUACCCAUCUUCUUGCAUCUGCAUUAGACAAUCUAAUUUCAUCACAGUAAUGUUGAAAUGAUGGCUGAGUUAGAGCAUAUCCUGCAUUCACCACUUUUUUACGAAGGUUCUUAUCUUUGAUUGCAUGAAUGAAGUUUUGUGCGAUAUGUCUAAUGCAAUAGACAUGGGUAGAAGGAGGACCAUAUCAUUCGUUAUCAUGGUUAUUGUAAGCACUCUCAAUGGCAUCAUAUCUAUUUGAAAUCAAAUAGUGAUUGGCUUGUGGAGCGACAUGUGUUCUGAGAUGUCAAAGGAAGAAACCCCAACCACCAGCGGUUUUACCUUCAACAAGAGAAAAGGCAAUGGGAAAGACAUUAUUAUUGUCGUCUUGUGCAACAGCCAUAAGCAAAGUACCCUUGUAUUUGUCGUAUAACCAUAUCCCAUCAACUUGAAUAAUAGGUUUUCAGAAUGCAAAACCUUUGAUGCACGAUUCAAACGUCCAAAAGAGGCGAUGAAAGAUUCUAUUUCCAGCAACAUAGGUUCCGUCUGCCGUAAAUGCUGGAAAUGUCUCCAUAAUUGUAACAGUUACUGGUACGUAUGUUUUUGGUGCCCAUAAAAACCGUGGCAAUUCUUUGUAUGAAUCCUCCUAGUUGCCGAAUACAUGUUCAACAACCUUUGUCCUCGUAAUCCACGCUUUCUUAUAAGAUAGAGUAUUAUUAUACUCACCUUCACUGAUGGGUCUUUGUUAACAAGUGGCAAAAUGUCUUGACAUAUCAAUGCAGCGCUAAAUUUACGGUGAUCUUGUUCAAUAUUAGUUGCAAUGCAACUGUGAGGUAGGGAUAUAUAAGCUAUCUCCCAAGAGUCUCUUCUCUUUUUGUGAGACGCAACCAACUGAAACUUGCAAAGGAUGUUACUACAUUUGAUGACAUACCUUCUCAAAUCAGUGCGUUUCACGGUGAAAUCAGUAGAGUUAUUCAUCUGAAAUUUUUUGAUAGCUUGCACACAUUCUUCUUUGGUGCGAAACAUGUCUCCCACUUUUAACUCAUCCUCUGAUCGUGGAUACGGGAUAUAAAAAACACAGUUGGAUGUUUCAUCGUCAUGUAGAUCCAUGUUUGUCAUAUGUUGAGGUGGAUUAUAUACAUGACUUGGAGGUAAUGGUGUUGGAUGAUCGUCAUCAUUAAUGUUGUUGUUCAACAUAUGAUCGACAUGUGUCUUAGUCUCUUCUUCUUCUUCUUCAACGAUGUUGACUUCUGCUUCUGCUUCUGGGUCGGCUUCAUCUGAUUUUUCUGAAUCAAACUCAUUAGAUUCAACUUGAUUAGUUAUCUGAGAUUGCUGAGAUGGCAUACUUGGUUGAAGAGUAAUAUAUAACUCAAUAUAUUUGCAACCAGAAUGUUCGUGUCUAACAAACAUAUAUUCAACAUCUUCAUCGUCCUGUACCUUUAGCGAGAAAAAUUUGCAUUGACUGUUCUCGAAAAAAAUUGGAUUUUGAUACGGGAUUUGUGACACAAGACCAAAUCCUAUGCAGGAUUCAAUUCAUUUUUUCAAAUGCAAGAAAUAUGAAUUUCUCUUAAUCGUUAGUUGGAUAGUAUCGGUGUUUCGAAAACAAAACCCAUAAUAGAUCACACUCAUAUGUCUCACCGUUGCAGUGAGCAAUGAUAGUAUAUUUUGGUACAGAUGACAUUGUAAUAUUUUUUGUGCAGAUGAAAAGUAAUAUUUGUUUGGUGCAGAUGAAUUUGUGUUGAUUGUUGGAUGUAGAUAGUAAGGCACUUAAAUAGACAAGUGAUGUGUCAAGCAUGCAAGCCCUAGCUCCAGCCCAAUUGGCGCUAGCAUGCAAGCAUUGUACAUGGGCACCAGUCCAACUGGCGCUAGCAUGUAUUCCUUGUAGACCUCAUAACUCAACAUGUAGAGCCAUGCAGGCGCCAGGCUAGGUGAAGACCAUGCAUUCAUGCAAGCCUAGGAGGUGCCAAUUUAAUUGGCGUUAGCAUGUUACAUUUGCAUGUGUAAGUCAAACCAUUUGGCGCUAGCAUGCAAACACUAUUAUCCAUGCAUUCAAACUUUUGUAUGCCUUUGCAUGUCCCUCAUUAUAAAUAGCCAUGCAAGUCUCACAUUUUUUCCUCACUAACAAUCACUUCUUCCUCUACAACAACAACUCUUUCAUCUGCAACAACCACUGUUUCAAAUAUUUACUCCAACAAGAUGUCUCUCCUUACUAUGGGUGAAUCGCACAAAGGCACAGUUGCAAACAUAGCAACUUAUGUAAGCAUUUAAUUCUUGUAUUAUUUUUCUAAAAUAAUUUUUAAUAACGAUACUUAACUUUUUGUUUAUCUUUUAUAAAGUAACGUAUUUUGUUGUUUCUUUUUUAGGAUGUUUCUAGGUUUCGAACUCGGGUCCACAAAUUUGUACACAUGGACCCGAUGAUUCAACUGUAUGUCAAACUCGCCGGUUUUUGACAUAUAAGCAAAAUAAUGUCUCGGUCGGUGGAUAAUAAAUUUAUUCUUGCAUUAUGUGAAAGAUGGCGUCCCGUGACACACACAUUCUGGUUUUCAACCGGUGAAUGUACCGUGACGUUAGAAGACGUCUACAUGUUAUUGGGACUGUCUAUCGAAGGUAAGGCGGUAAAUGACAAAAUCAACUAUGCAAAUUUAAUUUACAUGGACCUCUUGGAUGAUGAUUUGUUAAAUGAUAACUCGAGAGGUCAAGGUAUACUCCUUUCACGCCUUAAGGCAUAUUAUAACAGCUUACAAUUAGAUGAGAAUUCUAUCGAAGAGGCUCGAAAAGUAAAAACUAGGUGUUAUAUUAUGCUUUUAAUUGGUUUAUUUUUAUUUCCCGAAGGUAGUGGUUCUAGUAUGCAUGUUAUGUAUUUACCUUUACUAAGACAUGUAGAUAGAAUAGGAAGUUAGAGUUUGGGGUCCGCUUGUCUGGCUUAUCUUUAUAGCUCUUUGUGUAAAAAUGCACCAAAGACACAUCUAUAUUUUCUGGAUGUGUUGUUUUGCUCCAAGCAUGGGGUUAGUCCAGACUACCAUCCCUAGCGUCCUUCAACAACAACCCACUCACAUUCCCGUAUAUACAAAAGUAAGUUCUUAAAAUGGACUAUAUUUACUUACCUUACCGAUUAUUAUCUCUAAAUAAUAUUUUUUACUUUUAUGGCGAAGAUGGUCGGCAUGUGGUAUGAGUUAUAACAGAUGUCCUAGGCACUAUAUUACCCAGUAUCGCAAUCUCUUGGAUCACCUUCGACCAACAGAUGUAUGGCCAUUAACCUAAUUAUUUCCUAAUAAUUUGUUAAUUUCUUCUACCAAAUUUAUAAUCUAAUAUAUGUUCACAUUUCAGUUCAUUUGGCGUUCAUAUCUAAAUUUGGAUCAUGACCAUGAAAUCGACGAACAAGAGGCAGUUGUUUGGAUUGCAUGCACACCAAUCAUAAGAUUCACCACUGUGGAGAUGCACAAUAGUAAUUGUGUUAAAUUGUAGUUCGGUAUGCUUUAACACAUCCCAGGUCCCCUGGAAAACUUAAGAGAAUGGCAUCUAUGCAAAGUUAACGAACAAUGAAACUUUAACCCAUGGCAAAGCUUCGCUAGAUCUGAGUGUUUCAAAUGGAAGCACCACCAAGACCAUGUCUUAACUGACCAUGUGAUGCCAACUGAAGAAAAACCAAGUCGUAAUUAUAUGGCUUGGUACAUAUCGGUUGGAUUUGAGUUCAUCGCCAAGGAUAUGUACCUAUAUGACCCACGACAUGCAACUUACACACCAGAAGGGUCAAUAUCUAACCCCUAACAACAUUGUCAGACCGGUAACUCACAACCCCCUAUCCAUCAAAAUUCUCGAUCCACAAACACACAAACCUACAACCCUAACAUGCCAAACACCCAACCACAAUACCAAGAGCAUACCCCGUACCACCACCAACAACUAGAUCAUCAUUAAGACAUCCAACAUCGCUAUGCACCCAACGCAUUCCUAUCAUAGCCGCCUAAUCCAAAACACUCAACGAUCAUUUAACACCAAUCGUCCCUCCUCCUACCAUAGCCAAGAAGCUCAAACAUCUCAAAACCAAAACCUUCAACAACCAUAUCACUACCAAACACCGCUACAAUCAUUUCAACCUUUCCUCGAUGCAUCAUUCACACCAAUGUAUCCCUUAAAUCGUCCCGGUUUCCCUCCAACAACUCAAACACAACCCAACUACUCUGGAAUGGGUCAUGAGCUCAGCUAUGGUGGUACCCCUUUGAUGCAUACACCAAAUUAUGUUGAUUUGUCUAACUAUCUCAAGCAAUCUCCUGCAGUUGGUGAUGAUGUUCCUGUGCCCUCAGAUACUCAAACACCUGAGGUGAAUCAUCAACGUGGAUUAGGGCCACGAGUUCGGGUAGCUAGGGGAUGUGGGACCGGAGGUCAGUUAGGCGAUCCCGAUCAUCGACAUUAGUCUUUUUUGUGUAAACGGGAAUUUAUAUUAAUAUGAAUUGGUCCUAUUUUGACUUUAUCUAUUAUAUACAAUAUUUUUCAAAAAAAUUACGAAACACACACAGGUGCCAUACCAAUUGGCGCCUCCUUUAAAACUUAACACAUAGGCAUCAAUUGGAUUGAUAACACAAGGUGGACUAGCCAAUCCAAUUGGCGCCUCUUCUCUAAGUUUAAGAGCAGGCGCCAAUUAAUCUGGCGGCCUCCUCUUCAAAGUGGGGUAGUUUGAGAAUUUUUUUGAAAACUGGGUUAUUUUGGGGAUUUUUUUGAAAAACUGGGUUAUUUUGGUAAAAAUUUCCCCAAAUUCAUUCUGCAACAACCUUCACUCAAUUCUACCGAAGUGUUUAGUGGAGAAGAAAUGCUUUAUUUUUUGCUUAUGCUGGAUUUUCAAUUUCAAGCAACACUUAAAUCUUGACCUGCAACUCAAGAAUUUCAAAAACAUCAAUGAUAAAAGACACUUCUCUAUGAUAAAUCACAUUUUCUCUAAGAAUUAAGAAGCAAACAACUCAUAGUAUCUUACUAGAGGUUAAAGAUGAUUAUAUAUUAAAUCUAAUUGUGAUUAAGUGUACUUUAAAAGCUAAAAACUUUGUUUUUGAAAGACUCUCAAAGUUAUGAUGAUAUCACACACUCUUUUGAAAAAUGACACAAUGAUUUUUAUAUGUGUUUGAGAUAGAGCAUUAAAAGUGAGUAAAAAUACUCAUUUGAUUGUAGUCAAGUGCAGUGGAUAUAAUUCAAGUCGGAGGAGAAAAUGAUUUGAAUUAAGAACUUAAAACUCAAAGUUUCCCCUUUUUGAUUCGAAUAAGUGAUUCGAUUUAAAGAAUCAUGUGACUUGAAUCACUCUGACAGAACCAAAAUCUAGCAUUUGGAAUGAAUUUUUUAUUCGAAUAAACCUUUAGCAUAAUGUGAAUAAAUAUUUAUUAUGACUCAAAUCAGGGAAGCUUGUGAUUCAAAUCAACUGAUAAUGGUAAAACCUGAAUUUCACAAUCAUUUAUUAAUUUGGAUCAUGCAUAUCCUUGACUCGAAUCAAACUUCAUAAAGUUACUAUUUUAGGCAAAAUAAAAUAUUUGAUUUAAUAUAAGGUUAGUAUGAUAGUAAUCAUGAAUUCAUGUGUUUAUUGACUCAAAUAAUUAACUAGUUUGACAUGAACCACUUUGCAACAACUUUUAUCUUAUGGUUCGAUUUAAAAAACAUGACUUAAUGCAGAAUAUGCUUUAAAUGCAUUACACUAAAUUCAAAUAUAUGUGCAAAACCUAACUUGGAGAAUAAUCAAUAACAAAAAAUAAUGAACUAUAAGAUAGAAAAUGAGACAAGAAUCAAAACUGAAACCCUAUAGGAGCGGAGCAACUUCAAUAGGUGUUAUCCUAACCAUCUUUAAUAUUUUUCGUUUCUAACGUUAUCCUAUUUAGUAUUACCAAACUUCCAAUGAAACAUCCUCAUAUUUCCUAAACUUAUAUUGUUUCCAUGUUGAUUCUUAACCGCCCAACUUUCUGUUCUAUUCAACUUUGUUGGUUUUCACGUUGUUCAUUAAAAUUUCCCAUCUAGCUUGAGCGGUACCUUUGUGUCAAUAAAAUUCCUAAGUCCCUCAUAAAUUUCGUCCAUCCAAUUUAAAUUCAAUUUUUUACAUCCCCUUAUAUUUCUUCAUCUUAUUUCCACCUUAUGUAUGCACACUAGUCGAUAACCUUCAUACGUAUAUUGGAUAGCUCGAAAAUAAGAAAGCUUAAUCCAUUUCUUAUAUAGGGAUUUCCAUAAAAUCUCUAUAGGAACUUUAUGAUACUCCUUCUCCAAGUCAAUAAAAAUUAAGUUCAAGUCUUAUUGGUCCAUCCGAUAUUUCCCCAUCAUACAUCGUAGUAUAUAGAUUUCUUCCAUGGUCGAAAUCCUAGGCAUAAAACCAAAUUGAUUCUCAGUGACAUGAGUCUAUUUUCUUAGUCUCUGUGCAUUCACUAUUUAACAUAACUUCAUGGCAUGACUCAUAAGUUUAAUCCCCGUAUAGUUUUCCCAAUUUUGUAUAUCCCUUAUGUUCUUAUAGAUUGGAACUAAAAUGAUUCUUCUCCAUUCAUUCAAAAAUUUCUUUGACACCAAUGCAUCUAUAUCCAAUAAUUUCCACAUUUCAAUAGGUAUGUAGUCUGAACCAACCGCCUUAUUGUUACUCGUCCUUUUCAAUGCUUGUUUUAAAUCUUGUUUUUGAAUUUGACUGUAGUAAUUAUAGUUUUGAUCCUCUUCUCCAAUGUCGAGCCUAAUAGAUUUCAGUGAAAUAGCAUAUUCUUCAUUAAAUAAAUUAUAGUAAAACUUCUUUCACAUAUCCUUUAUAUUCUUUUCCUAAACCAAGACUUUGUCCUCUUCAUUCUUAAUACACCUCACUUGAUCAAAAUCCCUUAUCCUUUUUUCUCUCCCCUUAGCAGACAGAUAUAUAUUUCUCCCUCCUUGGUUCCUAAAGAUUAGUAUAAUCCGUCAAUAUCUUGGUUUUUGGCUUCAUUCACCGCCCUCUUGGUCUCAUUCUUAACUUUCUUAUACUUUUCCCAGGUUUCAACAUUUUUACACCUAGAUCAUUCUUAAAAGCAAUCCAUUUUUACUAUUGCCUAACUCUGAACACUUUCAUUCCACCACCAUGAUUCUUUACCAUUAGGUCUAAAACCUUUUUAUUCUUCUAACGUUUCUUUAGCUAUUUUUCUAAUAUCUUGGGCCAUAUUACUCCACAAAUUAUUUUCGCUUCCUUGUGGUUGUCCAAACCCUCCCUUCAAGAUCUUGUGUUAGAAAUUUCCUAAUAUAUUACCAUUCAAAUGUCACCACUUGACACGUGGUUCUCCAAUGCAAUAUUUUAGAAACCACUAAAUAUUGGGUCACUGGUUCAUUGACCGAACCAUUGGGUCACUAGUCGAAUCGCGUGAUUAAACUGGAUAAAACUGGAAAAUUCAGUUGAAUAAACAUGUCAUAACAAAACUAUAUAGGUAUUAAACCAGUCGAAGCGAAUGACUCGGUCUCUAAAAAAAUCACUAGCACCUAAAAAAUAUAAAAAUAUCAUAAUUUCACAAGUUCAUUCUUUAAAUUCAAAUUCUAAACAUAGUCAUCACUAACAAAAAAAUAGUACAAAAUACAAAUCAAAAUAAAAUUUGAACAAAGUCUAAUUGCAACAUAAUAUAAUUUCAUAUUUUAUAACAAAAAAGUUGUAAUAUAUAAUAAAUUUAGUUCUAAGGAGGGAAAAUUGUUUCAAUGUUGGGCUCUCCUUCUUCAUCAAAACCUUCCACGUCAAAAUCAACUGCAACGUCUUCCCCAUAAACGAUAUCAUACUACUCUACGAUCAUUUCUCCACACACGCCUUUACUUGGUUAACCAAUCUUGCAAUUCUCAUCGUGAACUCGCUAAUUGUUUCCUUUUCUUCCAUUUGAAUCAACUUCAGUUUCCUCUUGUGAGUUUGUAACCUCACCAUUUUUGCCUUGUAUGCUCCUGUAUAACUUUUCUCCAUGAUUUCUUAAACUUCCUUUGAGGAUGUGCAAUCAUCAAACUUCUUAAAUUUAUCUGCAUCAACACAUUGUUGAAUCAGAUAUAACGCCUUGUAAUCUUUUGUCCUCUCUUCCUUAUUCUUAUUCCUAUAUGCAACUGUUGUACCUUCUACAAGUGGAGUAACAUCGUUCUUGAUCGCUUCAAUAACAUCUUGAUAACCAAACAACACCUUCAUCUACUUGCAUCACUUAUCGUAAUUCUUUGCAUCGAGAAUUGGGAGAUCUGCAUGGGUUCAUUCAUUGGAAAUGGAAAUCAAUUUUGCACUCUGAGUGUUUGAUGGAUCGGGCCAGGUUUUUGAUGGCAAAUGUUAAAACAAGGAACCACAUGAAUGAUGAUUUUCAAUGCGAAGAGUAAGAGAGUGGGAGAAUGAGAGAGAGUAAAUAUUAAGGGUGAAAAUGGUGAAGACUUUAUUAUUGAAAUACCCAAGGGGUAUAUGUACAUUUACAUGGAAUGAGGUACAUGUAACAAACAAAAAACUAUUGUUGUAAUCGAUUACAUCCCCGCAAUAAUCGGUUACUAAACGCUUUUGUUUCAUUGAUAUAGUGUGGUAACCAAUUGCAUUCGUGCAAUAAUCAGUUACAAUUCAAUCAUGUUUCAACUGUACUGUAACGGUUACAAUCACGCAUUAACAAUAUUAUUCAAAUUUUUAUUGUAACAUUGUCUCUCAAGCACAUGUACUACAAAGUAUGUACGCACUCUUGUCGAGUAUAUCUAUCUUAUUUGUGGUAUUAUAUUUUGAGAAUUCUUAUCUACUCAUUACAACAAAAAAUUAUCUUGAAAUUGAAUAAUUAAUCUUUUUUAAUACAUUUAUUGACAAUUUAUUUACUAUUGACAUACUUUAUUAUGAUUUCNAUACUUUAUUUUGAUUCUUAUUUUAAUAUAUUUUGAUUAUAAAAAUAAAAUCGGUUUUUCUAUUCACUCGGUCAAAUAUUACAAGUAACCAUCAAAUGAAGUAAAGUACUACGCAUGCAUUAAGAGAUUAUGUUCAAAUCAGAGAAAACAGAAAUUAAUGUCAUGAAGCAUUAUCAUGCGAUUCAAAAAACUUUCGUGCAAGGGAAUUCAAUCACCAUGCAACAUUAGACUUCAGCAAAUCAUAAUUCCAAAUAUUGUUUGCCCAUAUAUAUUAUAUUUUUAUUUUGGGUAGGUUGUUCGCUAUUCUGUUUUCACAUGUAGUUUAAUGAGUUUUAACCAAAUUGAAAAUCCCCUUAGACAGAACAAAAGCUACCAUGUUCUUUAAAUAAUAAUAUAAAAUAACUAAAUAAAUAAAAGAAACAAUGAAAUAUGCCGUGGCAGCAAAUUCAGAUUAAUUUAAAGUUUUUUUUAUAUCUAUAUAAACCACCACUUCCAUUUUAUUUCAACUCAUAUCAAUUUACAUUUCUUUCUCCAACACAUAAACAUACACACCUCAACUCAACAAGGCUUUCUUUGAUAACAACAAAAUGGUUUCUAACAACCAAAAACAAUACAUGUGUGUUCUGUUCCUCAUCCUUGCUCUCAAUAUCACCAAUGUAAUGUCCCGAAAGCUGCAACAAUCAACAUCAUCACCAUCCUUAGAAGAAAGACACGAGCAAUGGAUGACAGAAUAUAGCAAAGUGUAUAAUGAUGAUGCUGAGAAAGACAAACGUUUCAUGAUAUUCAAGGACAAUGUUGAAUUCAUUGAAUCAUUCAAUGAUGCCAACAACAAACCUUACAAACUAAGUGUUAAUCACCUUGCUGAUUUGACUCUUGACGAAUUUAAAGCUUCCCGUAAUGGUUACAAAAAGAGGUCUUCUACUACUGAGUUAACUUCAACAUCAUUUAAGUAUGAAGAUGUGACUUCUAUUCCAGCAUCUGUAGAUUGGAGGGUAAAAGGAGCCGUCACUCCAAUCAAGGAUCAAGGACAAUGUGGUAAGUAACAUAAUCAGUAAACAGUAUUUUACGAAUGCUUUAUUAUGAUAUUAUUUGUUUCAAAUAAUUAAUAUUUGUUUUGAAAAUGAAUCAAG